UGCAGAGAGCUGGAGAAAGCUGGCAGCACUACCUGAACAGCUAUUGAAAGAGUGAGACUUCUCAGUUCCUGCUUCAUUACUGGGUAGCAGCUAUUCCAGCGUGCGAGAGCGCCUAACUGCAUUCUCCCAUCGCAAAGCCCUUGGAUCAAAGGAGCAUGCAAAAAUAUCAGUACUGCAGCCAAGCAAUAUGAGGUACUUUUGGCACCAUUUGUUCGUUUGGCACACUGGCACGUGGCAAGGGACAGAGUAAAUCAGUUCUGACAUUUGAAACAGUGUAUUUACAGCAGUGGGGAGCAUGUGGCUCUGGAGGGUGACUGCAGUGAAGAAUACAGAGCAGCAAAGCCCCUGGAUGCAUUCAGCACCUACGGGAAUUGGGAAGGGGGCUAGCUUCUGCACCAUCUUCUUUUUCCUUCUUAUUGUAAAAGUAGGAAAUGGAACAUCGAAAUAUUUUUCUCUGCUUCAGAUCUAAAAAUAAGGAAUUUGAUGUGGCUAUAUUAAUAACUGAAUAUGUUAUCCCCACUGGAUGGUUUUUGUCCCUGUCUCCUGUCUCCCCAGGAAGAGAGGAAGUACCCGUUGUUACUGCUUCAUUAAUUUUUCUAUUUCUUCCAGCGGUGAAGGGGCAAAUUCUGAAUGCCAGCUGGCACAGUAUGC